rnacentral:rRNA from 1 species
UACAGAGGGGGCAAGCGUUAAUCGGAAUUACUGGGCGUAAAGCGUGCGUAGGCGGUUACAUAAGUCGGGUGUGAAAGCCCCGGGCUCAACCUGGGAAUUGCAUUCGAGACUGCGUAGCUAGGGUGCGGAAGAGGGAAGCGGAAUUUCCGGUGUAGCGGUGAAGUGCGUAGAUAUCGGAAGGAACACCAGUGGCGAAAGCGGCUUCCUGGUCCAGCACCGACGUUCAGGCACGAAAGCGUGGGGAGCAAACAGG